rnacentral:ribozyme from 1 species
GGUGAAGGAACUCACAGAUGAGGAAAUUCAAAUUAUUAUGGAACAAACUGGCAAGCAUCCCCUGUACUUUUAUUACCGCCGAAGGUACGAAGAAUACUGCAUGACC